rnacentral:rRNA from 1 species
UACGGAGGGGGCAAGCGUUGUUCGGAAUUACUGGGCGUAAAGGGCGCGCAGGCGGCUGCUCAAGUCAGGCGUGAAAGGCCUGGGCUCAACCCGGGAAUUGCGCUUGAGACUGGGCUGGCUUGAGUGCGGGAGAGGAUGGUGGAAUUCCCAGUGUAGAGGUGAAAUUCGUAGAUAUUGGGAAGAACACCGGUGGCGAAGGCGGCCAUCUGGGACCGCAACUGACGCUGAGGCGCGAAAAGCUAGGGGAGCAAACGGGG